CUAACCCAUGUGCAUGGCUCAUCAAUCACUUUACCAAAAUUUCCCUGCUUUGCUUAGAUUAGCCAAACCCUUGCCUUUCGUUGCCCUUCUUGUGCCGUGACUAGACAAACAGCUGAAGCUUCCUUUGUUGUGUUGUGCCGAUUGAAGCUUUGCUCUCGAAACUCUUCACUACCUCUGCAGUUCCAAUCUACUGCUUUAAAGCUUAAGGCACUAUACAAUUGUCAACUCAACACAACAUGUGUGUGGGUGGGGAAUAUGUAUCUAACAUGGAACUUACUGCAUGGACUUGGCUUCUUUGAAUCUUGUUGCCUCUCACUCAAGUUAAUGUUCGUCCUAAAGCAGUAGAUCCUCCAAAAUUGCUCAAGAAAAAAUGGAGAAGAAACGAAAGGAGUAAUGCAUUAUGUUUGAGAUUUAUAGAUGAGAGAAUAAGGUAGAGAGGAGAAGUAAAGAUAAAUGAUAUAGAUGGCUGAUCUGACCCAUUGACUUGGUUGAGUAUUUGUGACAGUAAAUCUUUAUAACUUAAUUGUUAUAUUUAGUUUUCUGAUGGGUUUGGGUUAAUAAGGCUA